UCCGCUCUGUUGAACAGGGUUAUUAAUGUAACAAGUAAGCCAAAGUUCCCUUUCAGAUUCAAUUCUAAGUGUCCUCUAGUUUCAUAGUCUCAUUAUAAUAAUUCGUCUCAAAGCAACACCUGUAUUUUAAAUUUUUUAUAAGGGACAUAACAUGUCUAACACAACUACUGGCACAGUAAAAUGGUUCAACGAAACUAAAGGUUUUGGUUUUAUUUCUCAAAGCAAUGGCGGUCCAGAUGUAUUCGUACACUUCCGUGCAAUCGCUUCUGAAGGUUUCAAAACUUUAGCUGAAGGCCAAAAAGUAUCUUUUGUUGUAGAACAAGGUGCUAAAGGUCCUCAAGCUGCUAACGUUCGUGCUGAAUAAUUUCGCAUAAGCGUAUGAGCGUUGGUGACUAGCCAACGCUCUUAUA
rnacentral:sRNA from 1 species